GCCAGACUCCUACGGGAGGCAGCAGUGGGGGAUAUUGCACAAUGGGGGGAACCCUGAUGCAGCGACGCCGCGUGGGUGAAGGAGCGUUUCGGCGCGUAAAGCCCUGUCGGCAGGGAAGAAGGAGGGCGGUACCUGACUAAGAAGCCCCGGCUAACUACGUGCCAGCAGCCGCGGUAAUACGUAGGGGGCAAGCGUUAUCCGGAUUUACUGGGUGUAAAGGGGGCGCAGACGGCAGCGCAAGCCAGGAGUGAAAGCCCGGGGCCCAACCCCGGGACUGCUCUUGGAACUGCGCGGCUGGAGUGCAGGAGGGGCAGGCGGAAUUCCUGGUGUAGCGGUGAAAUGCGUAGAUAUCAGGAGGAACACCGGUGGCGAAGGCGGCCUGCUGGACUGCGACUGACGUUGAGGCCCGAAAGCGUGGGGAGCAAACAGGAUUAGAUACCCUCGUA
rnacentral:rRNA from 1 species